UCAACAACGGAUCUCUUGGCUCUGGCAUCGAUGAAGAACGCAGCGAAAUGCGAUAAGUAAUGUGAAUUGCAGAAUCCAGUGAAUCAUCGAAUCUUUGAACGCACAUUGCGCCCGCCAGCAUUCUGGCGGGCAUGCCUGUUCGAGCGU
rnacentral:rRNA from 1 species